GAUGAACGCUGGCGGCGUGCCUAAUACAUGCAAGUCGAGCGAACAGACGAGGAGCUUGCUCCUCUGACGUUAGCGGCGGACGGGUGAGUAACACGUGGAUAACCUACCUAUAAGACUGGGAUAACUUCGGGAAACCGGAGCUAAUACCGUAUAAUAUAUUGAACCGCAUGGUUCAAUAGUGAAAGACGGUUUUGCUGUCACUUAUAGAUGGAUCCGCGCCGCAUUAGCUAGUUGGUAAGGUAACGGCUUACCAAGGCAACGAUGCGUAGCCGACCUGAGAGGGUGAUCGGCCACACUGGAACUGAAACACGGUCCAGACUCCUACGGGAGGCAGCAGUCGGGAAUCUUCCGCAAUGGGCGAAAGCCUGACGGAGCAACGCCGCGUGAGUGAUGAAGGUCUUCGGAUCGUAAAACUCUGUUAUUAGGGAAGAACAAAUGUGUAAGUAACUAUGCACGUAUUGACGGUACCUAAUCAGAAAGCCACGGCUAACUACGUG
rnacentral:rRNA from 1 species